rnacentral:rRNA from 1 species
UACGGGGGGAGCAAGCGUUGUUCGGAUUUACUGGGCGUAAAGGGCGCGUAGGCGGCGUGACAAGUCACUUGUGAAAUCUCCGGGCUUAACUCGGAACGGUCAAGUGAUACUGUCGUGCUAGAGUACAGAAGGGGCAACUGGAAUUCUCGGUGUAGCGGUGAAAUGCGUAGAUAUCGAGAGGAACACCUGCGGCGAAGGCGGGUUGCUGG